rnacentral:lncRNA from 1 species
UUUUUCCAAAUGAGGAAACUAAGGUACAAAGAGGCCAAGAGACUUGUCUGUCUCAUAAAUGGCACUCUCUGCUUUCCCUAGUACUCAGCUUUGGUGUGGGCGAGAAAAGAACCCCAGCAAAUAACACCCAGAUCAGCAUUAUCCUGGGAAUCCAUGACAAUGAUGCUUCUCCAGUAGCUGCACCAUCCUUGAAAUUCCACUUUUGACUUUAACUUUGAUUCCUGCUCAGAUGAAUUCAGGAAUGAAAUAUAUUAUGGAAACCCAGCAGUGGUUGAUAAUCCUAAAUUUAAUAGAAAGGAAACAUAGCCCAUCUGUCUGGACCUGUAUAGAAGAAUUUGGAGGAAAAAAAAUAGCAGGUAAGAAAUGUUCCCUUAUUUUGUGAGCUGCCUUUAAUCUGCCCCGUUGUUCUGCAGCAAAGGCUUUUGCAGAAAUACUUGAGUUUUCCUCUUCAGAUAGGUAUAUUUUUAAAAAAUCAUUUAGAACAGUAUUUCUUC